UAUAAUCAAACAAUACACGACAUACAUACAUCAAUCGUGGCGAUCAAGCUAUGAACACUGACGUGUCUCGUGUUCUUGACGGACCGAAGAGAAGGGUGCCCAAUUUCAAGAUAUCGGACAAAACAAGCCUGGAACUGGUCAGAAUCGGACCAAUCGAUCUGGAUCGUGGCGGUCGAAGAGACCCAUCCAAUAAUUUUUCUCUUCCGGGGGUAAGAGAAAUCAGUGAAGAGGAAGAAACUUGCAAUAAUGCUGUCCUUUCAAACAUCAGCAACACACGGUGGAUCUCUCUAGCCUUUGAACAUGCAAGGGGGAAGAGAAAUUAGUGGAGACGAAGAAAGUUGCAAUAAUGGUGUCCUUUAACGAUGGCCACUCAUUGUUUCCUUUCUUCUUGUUUAUUUGCUUCUAGUGAAUUAUAAACAUGCCUUUUAAAGAGACUCCUCCAAAUGAUUCUCUCAAGAUUGGUAUAAUCAAACAAUACACGACAUACAUACAUCAAUUGUGGCGAUCAAUCUAUGAAGACUGACGUGUCUCGUGCUCUUGAUGAACCGAAGAGACGGGUGCCCAAUUUCAAGAUAUCGGACCAAACAAGCCUGGAACUGGUCAGAAUCGGACCAAUCGGUCUGGAUCGCGGACGGUCGAAGAGACCCAUCCAAUAAUUUUUCUCUUCCGGGGGUAAGAGAAAUCAGUGAAGAGGAAGAAAGUUGCAAUAAUGGUGUCAUUUCAAACAUCUGCAACACACGGUGGAUCUCUCUAGCCUUUGAACAUGCAAGGGGGAAGAGAAAUUAGUGGAGACGAAAAAGUUGCAAUAAUGGUGUCCUUUAACGAUGGCCACUCAUUGUUUCCUUUCUUCUUCUUUAUUUGCUUUUAGUGAAUUAUAAA